GAGAUGGCUCAGAGGUUAAGAGCACUGACUGUUCUUCCAGAGGUCCUGAGUUCAAUUCCCAGCGACCACA
rnacentral:tRNA from 1 species